rnacentral:misc_RNA from 1 species
GAUGAAGAACGCAACGAAAUGCGAUAAGUAAUGUGAAUUGCAGAAUUCAGUGAAUCAUCGAAUCUUUGAACGCACAUUGCGCCCCCUGGUAUUCCGGGGGGCAUGCCUGUUCGAGCGUCAUUUCACCACUCAAGCCUCGCUUGGUAUUGGGCAACGCGGUCCGCCGCGUGCCUCAAAUCGACCGGCUGGGUCUUCUGUCCCCUAAGCGUUGUGGAAACUAUUCGCUAAAGGGUGUUCGGGAGGCUACGCCGUAAAACAACCCCAUUUCUAAGGUUGACCUCGGAUCAGGUAGGGAUACCCGCUGAACUUAAGCAUAUCAAUAAGCGGAGGA